rnacentral:tRNA from 6 species
GCGGACAUAGCUCAGUUGGUAGAGCACGACCUUGCCAAGGUCGGGGUCGCGAGUUCGAGUCUCGUUGUCCGCUCCA